UUUUGACAAGUACUGUCAUACUUCUGUUGCAGGUUUUCACUAAAUACCAAAAAAAAAAUCACAUUUUCGUGAUCCUCGUCAAAUUUGGGGUCGACUCUAUGUAUCAACUCAAAAUACCCCAAAAUCGUAAAAAAUCGCAAGUCAUUCCCAGCCCAAAUUUAAUAAGGAUCACGAAAAUCCUACUCGUUUUGUUAUGGGAUCAAUAUUUCCGAAGAUAUUGGCUACUUCAGGUGACUUCCGGGAAAUUUUCGUGACAAUCUGCAAAAAGCUGAUCCUACGAGCAACGACAGUUUUACCUACAAAUGUUUAGUGUUUCGUGCUGCAACCAGUAGUUUAUAUUCUAGGAUGUUAUGCCUAAAAUUGGAAUUCAGCUAUCAGAUUACCGAAAUUCAAGUCGAAACUGUAGAUGGCGUUGAUGUGCGUCUAUGAUGAAGAUUAUGAGUGACAAG